rnacentral:rRNA from 1 species
GACGAACGCUGGCGGCGUGCUUAACACAUGCAAGUCGAACGGUGAAGCUCCAGCUUGCUGGAGUGGAUCAGUGGCGAACGGGUGAGUAACACGUGAGCAACCUGCCCCUGACUCUGGAAUAAGCGCUGGAAACGGCGUCUAAUACUGGAUACGAGAAGGGCCCGCAUGGGCACUUUCUGGAAAGUUUUUCGGUUGGGGAUGGGCUCGCGGCCUAUCAGCUUGUUGGUGAGGUAAUGGCUCACCAAGGCGACGACGGGUAGCCGGCCUGAGAGGGCGACCGGCCACACUGGGACUGAGACACGGCCCAGACUCCUACGGGAGGCAGCAGUGGGCAAUAUUGCACAAUGGGCGAAAGCCUGAUGCAGCGACGCCGCGUGAGGGAUGACGGCCUUCGGGUUGUAAACCUCUUUCAGCAGGGAAGAAGCGAAAGUGACGGUACCUGCAGAAGAAGCACCGGCUAACUACGUG